ensembl:lncRNA
CUUUUACAGGUACAGUGAGGUAGCUCUGCAACUUUAGCAAACAGUCUGUCACCUGACUUGAUCUUUGGUCUUUGGACUUGAGGGUAGUGGUGCAGCUAACUGGCUAACUAACGUAACACCAAUCAAUGAAUAUGCUCAUACAUAGCAGCUAGCCAGUUCAUGCCGGUGGCUGGUGAAGACUAAUUUUAGCGAGAAACCCAGACUGUGUUUUACAUUCUAACAAGCGAUGUUAGUAUGCUUAAACGAUAUCCGUUUUCUCAAAGAGGGCAAUGUUUGCUAACCUGGUCAUUCAAACCUACUGCUAAUGUAAAUAUUCACCUUACCCAAACACCGAUCAUUCUUGUGACGGUGCGUCAGAAUAAAAUUCCCGAAUGGAAACUGGAGCUAGAGUUUAGAGUUCUGGUUGUGAAACACGGAACAAAGAAAUCUGAGAAUGAAAAUCCAGAGUGGUGAGGAAUCAAGUGGUAGAAGACUUCACUGACCUCUUAAUAUAACCUCUAUGACUGCAACAGGGUUCCGUGGUAAUGGCCUGGUCACGGCACCUUGACAUGUGGCAGCAACUGAGGGAUCAGGGGUCACAAAUGCAGUCCUACUGGUGAGGAAAGGGUUCCAGCAGUGACUGACAGGAGAGGAGGGCUCAUUGGUUCCCAUAUAGAGACUGACUAACUAGCCGUUGGGGACUUCCACUUCCAGCCACAGGACACCCGUUGGACCCAGAGAUGGACCGGCCACAGCCUGAACAACAGUGCUCUUUUCUGGGUUACAAACCUGUGGUCAAUACUGCUGCAUCUCCUCUCCUGCUCCAGCAGAUGUGGAUCCCCAUGGUGACAGGAGAAGAACACCAGAGACACUGCAGAUGGAUGAGUUACACAUCACAAAGAGGAGGAGACAGAAUGACAGACUGCAGGCGCCAUCUGGGAGCGAGAUGUGCAUUACAGGAGCUAUCCAUAUGGUCGGGGCAUCAUGACUUUGCUCAUCUCAUCUCCCGUCAACAUCUCUUCUGCUCAAGUCCUCUCUCAAAUGAUCCACAUACACAUUCUAAACAGAAAGACAAAAACAUGCUCGUGUUUAUAGAUUUUUGCAGAGAUUAUACAAAUUUACACAUAACAGUCGGUAUUAGAUUAAAAUGUUAAACUCAUGUCUUCAAUACUCUUAAAAUGUACAUUUCCUCAUGAAUCGGGUGCUAUAGAUUAAGACUCUUCAUACAAUCUGAUUAUAGUACAUUUAUUAUAAUACAGAAAAUGAUUUGCCACCUCCAUAUCAUCCCCACCCCCAGACGUUGUUCAGUGUCGGGAGCUGGGGGCUUUUUUAAACCCAUCUGCUGUCUCGCACCUUCUAAUCUGCCCCCCCCCAGAACCCAAUGGCAUCGUACUCCUCAUCCUGUCCCCAUCCUACCCACUCAUCACCCAGUGCAUAAUAUAUUCCCCCUGUAACCAAAUACUACAGCUCACAUUGUAUUAAGCCACGUUGCAUAUGCUUAUAACACACACAGUGAUGUUUACAGACCUGUCAUCUGGAAUGUAC